AAUAAGUACAGUUUUACACUGUUCAUAUUCAACGUUUGACCACUUAUCUUAUUUGAAUUUUUUUUUUAUGAUUAGUAAUUUUAUUGUUAUUAGAUGAUAAAAACAUGAUUAGUACUUUAUGUGUAACUAUUCUUUUUUACUUUUUCAUAAAUUUUUAAAAAUAAAACGGACAGUCAAACGUUGGAUAUAGAUAUCAACGGCUACAUUUAUU
rnacentral:pre_miRNA from 1 species